rnacentral:rRNA from 1 species
UACGUAGGGUGCGAGCGUUAAUCGGAAUUACUGGGCGUAAAGCGUGCGCAGGCGGCGCGUUAAGACAGGUGUGAAAGCCCCGAGCUUAACUUGGGAAUUGCGCUUGUGACUGGCGUGCUGGAGUGUGGCAGAGGGAGGUGGAAUUCCACGUGUAGCAGUGAAGUGCGUAGAGAUGUGGAGGAACACCGAUGGCGAAGGCAGCCUCCUGGGCCAGCACUGACGCUCAUGCACGAAAGCGUGGGGAGCAAACAGG